AACGUAGGAGACAAACGUUAUCCGGAGUUACUGGGCGUAAAGGGCGUGUAGGUGGUAAUGUAAGUCUGGCGUGAAAUUUUUCGGCUUAACCGGGAAAGGUCGUCGGAGACUGCAUAACUAGAGGACGGUAGAGGCGUGUGGAAUUCCGGGUGUAGUGGUGGAAAUGCGUAGAGAUCGGGAGGAACAUCUGUGGCGAAGGCGACUGCCUGGACCAGCACUGACACUGAGGCACGAAAGCGUGGGGAGCAAACAGG
rnacentral:rRNA from 1 species